UACGUAGGGGGCGAGCGUUGUCCGGAUUUAUUGGGCGUAAAGGGCGCGUAGGCGGUCAGCACAAGUCAGUUGUGAAAUCUCCGGGCUUAACUCGGAAAGGUCAACUGAUACUGUGCGACUAGAGUGCAGAAGGGGCAACUGGAAUUCUCGGUGUAGCGGUGAAAUGCGUAGAUAUCGAGAGGAACACCUGCGGCGAAGGCGGGUUGCUGGGCUGACACUGACGCUGAUGCGCGAAAGCCAGGGGAGCGAACGGGG
rnacentral:rRNA from 1 species